rnacentral:snRNA from 1 species
GGAUGUGAGGGUGAUCUGGCUGUGAUAUCUGUCACCCCAUUGAUCACCAGGGUUGAUUCGGCUGAUCUGGUUGGCUCUGUGAGUGUCCCCUCCUUUCCUCACCCCUCCAUGUGCGUCCCUCCCGAAGCUGCGCACUUGGUCAAAGAGGAUAACCAUCCCCAUAGAGGAGGACCAUUCAUCAGUCAAGGGUAUACAAGUAGCUGUGCUCCCCUGCUAGAACCUCCAAACAAGCUCUCAAGAAAAAUGUCUAAACUUGAAAUUUGCAGGCUGCACUUGUGGACAACAGCUACCCAGGGCUGAGUGGACCUACUAGCUUCUG